rnacentral:sRNA from 1 species
UGUGUGGUCAAUUGAGCCUGCAUGACGCCUUUUCCCCUAAUUUCAAGUCUUUUUGGUUGAAGAAGGUUCUCCAAGAGUUACCUGAAGAGAAAAGUGGACACCAAACCAGUUACAAAGCCUUUGACCUACAACUUGUCCUGACAAGUGCCCUGGACUGAAUAAAGAACUGCCCAGAGACCAGUCAGUGUGUGUAAACACAUACACUGUGUCUAAACACAUAUAGUCUGUGCAGACAGUUAUUCAGCUGUAAAGAAGAAUAAAUUUUGUCUGUUGGAAAAAUGAAUAGAACUGGAUGGAGAUCAUCACAUUACCUGAAACAAGCCAUCAUUAGACAGGUUUUACUCAGAAUGCUGCUGACCUUUGAAAUUCAAGAAACUCUGAGCUCGAAGGAAGAAGGAUACAGUAUUUAUGACUUGAUGGAGCGCUACACAAUGAAAACGCUGUGGAGACCACAUUUGUGAAGACACUCCAAGAAGAUCUUUUUUAAAAAAUAAAGA